UGGGGAAUAUUGGACAAUGGGGGAAACCCUGAUCCAGCGAUGCCGCGUGAGUGAAGAAGGCCCUAGGGUUGUAAAGCUCUUUUAGUGGGGAAGAUAAUGACGGUACCCACAGAAAAAGCACCGGCAAACUCUGUGCCAGCAGCCGCGGUAAUACAGAGGGUGCAAGCGUUGUUCGGAAUUACUGGGCGUAAAGAGCGCGUAGGCGGUUCUAUAAGUCAGACGUGAAAGCCCUGGGCUUAACCCAGGAGGUGCGUUUGAAACUGUAGAGCUAGAGGACGAGAGAGGUGAGUGGAAUUCCUAGUGUAGAAGUGAAAUUCGUAGAUAUUAGGAGGAACAUCAGUGGCGAAGGCGACUCACUGGCUCGUAACUGACGCUGAGGCGCGAAAGCGUGGGGAGCAAA
rnacentral:rRNA from 1 species